rnacentral:lncRNA from 1 species
UUGGUGAAGUGGCAAAAGCUUCCCCGAAACGAAGCCAGUUGGGAGCCUGAAGAUGCCCUACAACAUGAAGAAUCAAUCAUCAACAACUACCGACAAGCGUCAACGAGGGCGUCGAUAAUUUAAGUGGGGGAGAAUGUUACAAACGGUCGUCACGCACCCGUAACAGCUUCGUUCAACGAACCAUUCGUCGCUUUUGCAUGCUUGUACCGAGACAUGGCAGCAUGUUUUGCCUUAGUUUUGUGUGUUUUUGCUUGUAAAAAUGCAUGUUCGAACAAGUUACAGCGCUGCAGUGCCACCGCUCACCGUGCCGGGCCGAACUGCCCAAAAUAGCUCUAUUUUAGCAUGCUACGGCUUGUUUUCUACAAGUCACAGCUACACGCGAAAUAUCAACCAUCUCAGCACCCUAGAAACCCCCGGGUGGCACAGGGUUGGAUGGGGCUUCGGUAUAUUGUCGGGCGUUGAAAAAUCUUCACAAGUUCACAUGUUAUCGCGCCCGGCACUUGGUGAGCAAUUGUUUGUGAACUUGCAACUGUUCGUUCUACCUUUUAAAGUUCUUGUUUUCUCCUUCCUCUCUUUUUUCUCUUGCACUCAAGGUGCUUAUUUAAUUGCUUAUAAAGCUUCCCUCUCCGCGAGACGUCGGGACUUGUCCGUCGCUCGUUUUCAAUUUAAUCAACUUUCUGUUUUACAGAUCUUUCGGGACCUGUACAAGAUUGCAACUAGGUUGAACCUUUACAGACGUAUAUGUCGCAAGGGCGCCUCAUGACUUAAGCAAUCCCAGCUAAGUCCGAGAUGUUGGCGCAAUGGUACUUCACGACUUAGGCAACUUCAGCUAAGUUUAUGACUUUGCCGCAAUGGUGCCUCACGACUUAAGCAAUUCCAGCUAAGUCCGUGAUAAAUAUAUAUAUAAUUAGAGUUUUACAUAAAUAUAUAUAUAUAUAUAUAUAUAUAUUUCUGAAUUAGAUUUAUCAAGAAGAGGAAAAAAAAAAAAGACAGAAGUUAAAGACUAAGAAGAAAAGUUUGUAAAUGGGCUGGACCUGUUGUCGAACAAGUGGUGGGCGAACCACAAGUGCACAACUCGAUGUCCUCCCACACCAAAACACGGAUUGUAACUUUGCGCCUAGCGGCGGGAACUGCCACUGUUCCCGAUGGGGCCGCGGGUGUCUCCCACCUCACUCGGUGCUUGCGCUGGACUUGAGAUAAAUGGAGAGCGAGCCCCAGAGGAAACAACGCGCAUCCGUAUUUACUUCACAUGAGUACUUGUUCAUACAAGUUAGGAUGGUGUACAACAUAUAUCCGGCUUUCCGCAAGCUUGGACGCUGCUGGUUUUAGGAGAUGGCAGCUCUGUCGCUGGAUGGCCACGUACGCGGUCGGCGGCAUGUGGAUGUGAAAGCGUCGCCGGCCAAAGAAAGUCGUCCAAUUCGGGGGUGGCCGGUUCCGCACGUUUUGCGCAUUCGUAUGCGGCCGUUUUAAAAGCUUUCGGGUCUGGUCUCUUCUGGUCUUUAACCCCACUCGUCAAUGGAACAAGAUUUCUGGAGUCGAUCUGAA